rnacentral:rRNA from 1 species
CCCCUAGAUGUUCUGGGCCGCACGCGCGCUACACUGAACAGUUCAACAAGUCUUAACCUUGGCCGAUAGGUCUGGGUAAUCUUUGAACGCUGUUCGUGAUUGGGAUAGACCUUUGCAAUUAUGGGUCUUCAACGAGGAAUUCCUAGUAAACGCAAGUCAUCAGCUUGCAUUGAUUACGUCCCUGCCCUUUGUACACACCGCCCGUCGCACCUACCGAUUGAAUGGUCCGGUGAAAUCUCGGGACGGCGGCUCGGUCGCUUGCGUCCGACUGCUGAAACUUGAUUAAACCAUAUCAUUGAGAGGAAGGUGAAGUCGUAACA